AUGAUGCAUAAUGAGGCAGACACCUGUUCCUUCACGGAUACCAAGCACCUAUGCCUAACUUGUGGGAAGGAAGAUGAAAGCCAAAAAAAAAAAAGAUGAAAACUAUCUGCCUGCUUUGAUCGCAUUGAUGUCUGUCACCAAGACUGAUUAUAAUCUGCUGAUUAGCAAGGAUCCAGCUUCAGGUUAAAUAUCUUUCCCUAUAAUGUUGCACAGAAACAAUAGCCUUUGAUUACAUCAGGAAGAAUGAGUUGGACCACCUUUGCAGAAAUUAGAAUACGUGGAAGGAGAUGUUUGUGCAGCAGAAGAUAAUUUCAUGUGUCUGUGCUUCCUAAUCACCUGUUGACUCACACUUGCACACUGGUAACAUGUCAUUUGUAGUUCUCUAGCAGAAAAUAUCUAAGAAUGAUUAACUUCUAUGGGAAAAUGUAAACAUCUAAACAAGGUCAUUGUUGAAUGGUAAAAAAUAUCCCUUCUAUACCAAUUUCUCAUAACUCCUAGAAUCAUCACAUAAUGAUAUUUAGGGAAUAUGAUGAUUGCGAAUCUAAAAUACAAACUGACCCCAUCUGUUCAUCGUAGAGCACAUGGAUGCCAUAACCUAUGAGAUUUCUGAGUUCUCUCAAACUCUACAUGUCUGGAUCUGCAAAGUCGUGAGUUGUUAUGGAAAAGGAUAGAGAUGUAACUUUGUAAUAACACUAUGUAACAUGA